rnacentral:lncRNA from 1 species
UGUACGUAAUCCGGGCCCAGCUUCGCAUCCGUCAUCCGCCAUUUUGCCAUUUGAAAUUUACGAACUUCAACGCUUCAGCAUUGACUGUGAAGUGAAAAUGAGAAAUCAUGUGAAAUGUGAAAUAUCAUUAUGAAUAGUAUCACAGGCAUUAUGUUAAGUUUUAAGUGUAAUGGACGUAAGUACUGCAGUAUUGGUGGGAGGAGAUAAAUAUGAUGUUUUAAAGUGAAAAUAUUACAUCUCCAUAUUAUAUUCUCUCUAAGAAAUGAAUAUAUUAUCAAACCGUCUAUUAAUUUGUAUUUGACCACAUCUAAAUGUAUGGUGGACAAUUGGAACGCUAAAAGCAGCAGCCAUGGUCAAAAGUGUUUUUUUGGUUAUUAAGGAAUGCAUACUGGUUACAACCAGUUUGGUUUGCUGGUUAUCACAAAAGCUUUUUUGCUGAAGAUGCAAUGUUAAGUCUUGUUUAUGGAUUCGUAGAAAUAAUAUGCUAGUAUAUCGGAUUGAUAAGUAGAAAAAGAUACAAAUUCAAAUAUCAUUCAAAAUCUGGAUAUAAUGUAUAAAUGUAGUAAUGUUCUGUCUUAUUGAUAUUAAAUGUUGUUUGCAAUGGUGUUUUUUUA